UGGAAUCAUACAAUAUUUGUUCUUUUCCACAAUCAUUUUUAAAGCUCUCUAAGGAUAAGGACUGAGUCCCUGAGUCGUUUUCAUUUUAAAGGUAAUGUUUAUUUGCUCAUUCAUUUAAUAUUUAUUGUGCUGGGCAGAGGGUUAAGCAACGCCAGAAGCACAUGUGGUCUCUGAGGCUGCGGGCGUAGUCGGACGAGAUAACAAGGAAAAAGAGAGAAGAAAGAAUGACAGAGUAUGAGAAGUGAGGAAGCGUGGUGGCAGAGAACCCCAUGGAGCCUUCUGGGCUGUCUAAGUGUUUGUAAGAUGAUCGGGGGAGUGGUCCAGGAGGAAAGCUGAGGAGAAGCUGGCAGGGGGUCCAGGCAGAGGGAGGGGGACACAGAGCCUGAGGAGGGGGGCCUUUGGGUGGUGUGCAUGAGUGUGAGUGUGUCCAUGAGUGCAUGCGAGUGUGUGUGUGGGAGAGUGUGUGCAUGUGCCUGUGCAGAGGUCCUGGGGGAGAUGGCAGGCCUGGGGGCAACUAGGGAGAGAGCAGGAGUGUAUUCUAGGUGCCACGGGGACCUGUUGGGCGUCCUCUUCUCCCCACCCAGUCUGAGAGGAGGGAAGCGGCGCCCUGGGCUUGGCUGAGGGCACAGCCAGGAUGAGGAACAACUGCCAAUACCUCCUGCUGGGCACUGCGUUGGCCACACUCUGCACCUGCAUGACCUCCCGGGCCAGGUAUCGAGGACCCCGUUUCUCAGACACCAAGGCCGAGGCGCAGAUGAAUGCAGCCGCUUACAACGCUAGAGACGGCUAACCGGGCACGGCACACUCCGGGAACUGCCGCGUUGCUCUGUGUCUUUGUGCACAGCUGGGCGGCUGUGUGUGCGGUCUGGCCUAUGGCGGGCAGGUGACUGUGAUCUCCAAUUUGAAGGAGUGGAAAUGGAGGCUUAGGGGCAAGAAGCCACCUGCCCAAGGUCGAGGAGCAAGCAAGUGAAUGAAGAGUGAAUAUGUGAUUGAAUGAAUGAGCAAAUGAAGAAAGAAAAGGCCUAACCUCAUCCCCUGCCCCCGUUUCCUCCCAGGGUCUGGGGAGUGGGCUUUUCUUUGCUCCACUGGUCCAGGGAAGACGGAAGGAGGCGUGUGGGUGGAGGAGGGGAGAGGAAGGGGGAGCAGGGCCCACCAGAGAAGGUGAAAAGAAGAUUCUAGUCUCUCCAGGGCACACUCGAGUGUAUUUUCUUGUGCUUCUUUCCUAAAGCCGCGUCUUCACCUCACUUACUGUAAAUGCAAUGUUACGUCCUGUUUUUCCUUUACUUACUUACAUUCUCUGAGUCUCUUACAAAAUCUUUACAGCCACAAUUUUUAAGCUUUGAAUAAUUGCCUACCAAAUAAAUGGACCACAAAUUAUUAAAAUCUCUCUUACUGUCAAUCAUUUAGUUUGUUUUCAAUAUCUUUAAAAUACAUAAAUCAUGCUAUUAUAUAAUGCUAAUAACACUGAGACUAAUAAUUCCUCAGGAUUAAUCUCCAACCUGGGUUUCAAAGGUCUGAGCAGUUUCUUUGGGUGCUGUCAGUUUUGACCCUCCACAGAGUCUGACGCAGCUGUGGGCACGCAGAAGAGCCCAGGGACAGAGCCAAGAUGACACCGAAUCUGCGUUUCCUGGUGACUUGAUGGAGCUUUGGGUUAGUGUCCUGCUUGUAAAAUGGCGAGAGUGCAUCCGUGCAUGAGAGGUUAACUGAGAGAACGCAAGUAAAACAAUACAGUACCAAGCACACAACAAGUGCCUAAUAAAUGGAGGUGAUAGCUGGAGAUUUUGUUGCUGCAGGAGAUGCUGUGGUCGAGCUCGCUUCUGAAGGUAGCAUGCCUUUCUGGACACUGAGAAGUGAAACUCGCAGAGCAACUCGAGAUGGUGAGCCUGGGAUAUUCGGAGCUGACGUAGAAAAUCUAGGAUAUAGCAAAGCAAAGAGAGGAGGAAAAGAAACUAGUCAUAUACGAAGAUACAACCCCAAAGAUACCCCAAAGAUGGAACCAGCAACCUCGGCUGUAUCACCUUCCAGAAUCUCUCUCUCUUAAAACGGUGGCCGUACUCAAAAUGCUCUAAUAAUAUUUCAAAACUUUUUUUAAACAGUAAUAUUUUUCUUGUCGUUAUAUAUUCUCCUUAUAUUUUUUUUGCAAAACUGAAAUUGCUUUAUUGUUUUGUCUGGCUAUAAAUGUAAUACACAGAUGGAAGUAAUGCACAUGCAUCAACAAGAAAGCAAAAAUCGCCUGCAAUCUGCCACCCCCUCCCCUGGCCCCUGUAACAUUCAGAGCUAUCGUUUUGGCACAUGCUCUAUUUUUUCUAACGCAUGUUUCUUACACACAGAUAAUUCCCCUCCCCUCUGAGAUUAGGUUCAUAUAACAUCUAAUGUUUUAUAACCUGCUUUUUAAAUUUAAAAAUACAUUGUGAAUAUCUUUCCAGUGAUUAAGCAUUCUUGCACAUUGUUAUUUUAAUGGCCCUCAUUACAUUGUUUGGAUGUGUUCUCAUUUAUUUCACUGGUAGAUACUUAGGUUUUUAGCAUGUUUUCAAUAUGCUCACAAUAAGAUGCUGCAUGACUUUGCUGUUAAUAACCCUUGUGCAUAACCAUAAGAACCUUUUCAUGAUAAAUUUGUAGAAGUGGAAUUUCUGAGUCAAAAUGAUAUACACAACUUGAAGGCUCUUGAUACAUAUUAUGAAAUCGCCCUUCACGAUGGUGGCACCAGUGCACUCCCAGCAAUGGAAUACGAACCAACUCGUUUAUCAGCCUCUCACCUACCUGAGAUAUUAUAUUCUGGUCUACUGGUAAAAUGCAUUUUUUUUCAUUCUUUUUUUUAUUUGUUGUUUAAAUAAUUCCAAAUUAUAUUAGAAACAAGUUUGUAUUUAAUUUUAUUAAAGUUUAUUAUUCAUUAAUUAACUCACCUUCUGGUUUCCUUCCUUUAGUAUGUUUUUAAAAACAUUCGCUUAAUUUAAACCACCUGGAAUUUCUUUUGGUGUAAGAUGUGAAGGGCCCAGCCCACUUUAUUAUAUAAUCCAUUCUUUCCCCAUGUAUGUGAAUGCCACUUGUUCAUGUAAUCCAUAUAUUCUAAUGGGGUCUAUUCCUGUAUCACUUUAUUUUAAUUACUGGAAUCAGUGAUUGUAAAUGGACUGGUAUGUUUCUGUUAGCUCAUAAUCCCAUUGUGAGGGAGAGGCUCUUGCUUUUGUGAAAAAAAUCCUUCUGAUUCUAAAAAGAUGGGUGAGUCGCAUUCUUCCAUCUCUGCAAUUUUUCCCUCUGCCAGCACCUAAAGAUGGGAAAAACAGGACAUCAUGGUGAGGAAGUAGGAAUCCAGAAUUCAGAACUUGACCUACGAGAAACGAAGCUUGUUAGAAAAUUUAAGCUCCUUCUGCCCGGAGGGGGUCACAGUAAAAACUGAAGAUCAGUCUCAAGGAUUCUGACACUUUGAGAAGUCAGCCCAGUUCUGGGACCCUCAUAAGAAAUAAGAAAUUAAAAACUAAGAGUUUGGGGAGGUGAAGGAAGUACUGUUCUCAAUAUUUAAAAAAAAAUAAAAAUAAAAACAAUCCACAGUCAUGCCUCAGGGAGUCAAUAACUUCGUUGUGCCUAGGCUUGAAAUGCCAUCUUUUUAAAGGUAGGAACUAAUAAAUAAGUUUAGCUGCUGUAAUAACAAAUUCCACUCUAUAAAAAAAAGUCUAAAUGAGUGGAAAUUGUGCUCGCUGAUCUAACCAUACUUCUGAGCAACCUGAGUGUUCACACCACAAACCCUCAGCCAGAGCAGCCCAGAGUAUCUGGGUGGUGGGUUGUAAUUUGAGGCAAAGAUAGAGGAGAAAAUAAGUUACUUGGAGUGACUGGAAAACUAAAAAUAGAAGGUCAGAGGGGAUAUUGUACCAAAUAAGAUGAAGGACACGGUAACAUCAGGUUUUUAUGUACCAUAGCACCGAGCGAACCGGCCUCAGUGGAAAUGCAUGUUGACUGCUAACAGGUGGUGUGCGGCUCCCACCACCGUUUCUUCCCCACCCUCCCCUGCACUGUUGGCUUGCCCUUAUUUACUGCUGCCUUUGUGUGUACAGCUUUGUAAGCCGCCCCAAAUCCUUUUUGAAAUUAGGCAGCGCAAGAAAAAAUAAAAAUAUUGAUUCCUAGGCACUUUGUGACGUAUCUGAAAUUGAAUUUUAACAGUCAAGUUAAUUAAUAAAAAUAAAAGGAGGAUUACUUUUGUUUUAAUCCCAUUACUUAAAUGGAAGUAAUUCCUUUUUCAGAGCAACGUUUGCUUUUUAACACUCAUGCCCAAUGUUGGCCGUCAGGUGGGUGUCCUUCUACAGCAACAUUUGUGUACCCACACGGUCAUGUAUGCUCAGCUAUAGAUGUAUAUAGUUUUCUGCAGGUGAUGACUUACUUGCCUUACAAAAAUAGAGUCAUAUUGCAAAUACUUUCCUGCAUCCAGCUUGUCCUCCCUGAGGAUUCCUGGCCAUCUCACCGAAUCAUUCUUUUAAGUCACUCUUGUGAUGGCUGCAUGAUAUUUUAGGGUGUGUAUAGGACACAAUUCAUUUAGUGAUUCCCAAUUGAUGAACUUGGGGUUGUUUCCACUUCUUAUUUUGCCCAGACAAAAUUGAAAUAAUAUAUUUAUUCUUAUGUAAUAAUGCUUUUACUUUACAGCAGACAUAUGCCCAGGAGUGCCGAGUAUGUGAUUUAUAUUAGAUGCUACUAGAUAUCGCCAAGCUGUUUUCCAAAGGGCUGUAGUGUCUCAAAAUCCCAUCAGCAGCCCUUGUGAGUGCCCUGUCCACAUCCUCUCCAGCACUGAGUGGUGUCACUCGUUUACAUUUUCACCCAGCCAGUGACAUUUGCAUAUAAAGGACAGAUUUCCAUUUUUCUGGAAAAUGUUUUCUUAACCGUGACCAAAUCACAUCUCAUGCAAUGGAGAUGAAAUUUUGGUGUCAAGGUCACGGCAAGACAUUGAGAAUACGUGAAUCAACCUUCUCAAAUACACAGAUACAGCCAAAGGUCUUAGUUUAGUUUGGACACUAAAAGCAGAGCAGGGAAGAGGGUGGGGAGAUUUCCCAUAAACAUCAGCAGGGUCUGUCCAGGCUCAACUAUGGGACAGCUGUCCACUGAAAGGCUCUGUACGUCACAAUAGUCAGGAAGAGUUUACAAGGCAAAUAUCCCGCCCCCAUCUCACCUGCCACACACAGGGGCACGCUCCCUCUGAAAUGCCACUCUGAAAUGACUUAGAUAAAACCACAAUAGGAUUGUUCCCUCUUCCACUGAUAAGCCCCCAUGUGCUGCACAGGCAGGCAGAGUCCUGACAGAGGAAGACGUGAAGAACCGUUAGAGCAAGAUCGGGCUCCCCUCUGAGGCCCAGCGAGCCUUUCUUCUUGCCUUUUUCAACCCCCACACCGCACGAUGGGCCACCAGAGAUGGGAUUCUGAGUUUCUGUGGAGGUGGGCUUUGAGCAGGGGCCAGGAAAGGACUUCCCCAAGGGCUUGCUUGUCUUGUGGAAGUCAGCCUUCCUCCCCAUUCCCAAACCAAAGCAUCAACGUAGCUGUAGAGAAGAUGAUGAGAGAGAAGGAAGGGAGAGCUCAAACUCCCCCUUCUGCCCAGCCAGAGACUCGGUACUCUGAAGCCAGUCUCAUCUUUUGUGCUGGACGAGUCUCCCAUUGCUCUUUGCUCCCUAAGUCCCCCAAGCUUGGCUGAGGUCUGGAGAGGGAUGAGGGUGGAGGGACAGGAGUCACAGCCUCCCUUCUGCCCGGCCUGGUCCUACGAGCCAGCAGGUCUACCAAGCAGCCAGCUUUCGGCCCACAGGAUGCUGAAGGGGUGGUGGGGAGGGCUGUGUUGGGGAAAAAGGGCCUCCACCUACCCGCCAACACUUCAAAUCUUCCCCUCUUAACUUUGCCCCCACCCAACCGCAGAGACCUCCACAAAAUCUACUGUGAGAGGCUGCAAACUCUUCUAUCAGCGGAACACAACUUUUUGUGAGGAGGCAAUUCAUGCCUUCUGCCUGUGUUAACAUCAUCUGGGUAUUUACCUGUUCACUCGUUUAUCUUCUGUCCAGGGCUGGCCCCAGGGUGGGGCGAGGGAAGCGCCAAGGGUACUCACUCUCGGCAUCACACAAGUGCUGGCCUGUGUCUGUGUCCCCCACAAUAAUGUAAGCCCAUGGAGUUUGAGACAGUCUCUGUCUGUGCUGAAUGCAUGUUAGUGCCAAGGACAAGUCAGGUGCUCAGUUAAUAUCUAGUCUGUUGAGCUUGCGUUCUCCAAGGUGCUUGUCGACUGUCUUUGACAGAGUAAACAUUUGGAAGUGUGGAGAAGUCGAGUCCUCACAGGCUUGAGGAGCUCAGAAAGGCUGGGCUGGGGAGCCAGCAGGAGAGGUGCUGAGAGAUGCCCCGAGGGAGGCAGAGCUCCCAGCUCACUCACAUCUGCGGGGAACCCGAGGACCUGCUCGAUGAGCCUUCUCGCUCCGUUCAUUCAUGUAUUCAUUUAGAUUCUGGCCUCGAGGCUUAAGAAUGCUGACCAUUUGUGUGGGUGGCAGGACAGGGCCAGAGGGCUCCCAUAGGCCUUGGUGCCCCACAGGGGAUGGGAGAUUGGGUAGUAAGGAGGUAAGUGUAAGUGCCACGAGCAAGACGUGAGUCCUGGAGUGCUAGGGCUGUCUGUCCUGGCCACCCUUAGUCCCGCACAGGGCUACUGGGGUCACAGAAGGUGCCCCAAAUAAAUAUAUUUGAACUGGCCACAGGAAGCCUGAGGAAGGGGAGCAGUAACUGCAGAGAGAGGGUGAUUAGUUCAUUCGUAAGUGACAGACAGGACGGGAGAUGGUCUGCAACUAAAAAUAGAUGAAAAGAAAUGUAGGCAGGCUCUGUUUAAAUUGAGAAGCCUGAGCUAAGCUCUAGGAUGGGUACUUGCAUGGAAAAGUCAGUAAAUUAGUGGAAAGAACCACGAUCGUGAAAAGUCAAUGACACUGCAGGGACCCAAGUGCCUUUUUCAACACUUGUGCUUUCAGUUCGAUAAGAAUCACACAUGUCAUACCUCUUUCUGUCAAUCCCAGACGGAGGUGGGGUUGGGGAAUAUGAUUUCCUUGUGUUUGAGUCGACACACAGUUAUGCAGCCAGGAGGACUCCAGGAACCAGUGACUCAAGGCCACUGAGAAGUGUCGGUGACGCAUCUGAGGAGGUUUCCCAAGAAGUGACAGAGGAAAUCUCUUUUGUCCUCCACACUUGGAAAGGCCUCUGAAGACAAGGCUCUUUCUCUCUUUCCCUUUGACAGGGUGGUAGAUUCGGAUCAGCUUGCAGCCCGCACAGGGGCUGGGGAUCACUUUCUGAAAACAAGUCGCCCACUUCCUACAGGUAGAGACACAAGCUGCUGGGGCGGGGGUGGGGAUGAGUAAGGAUGAAAGGAAGGGGGUGGUGGAGGAGCCCCCUUCUUCCUUUGAACUCAGCCCUGCUGGGUGGCACACCUGCAGGCUGGCCCCCAGAAUUCUCCACCCUUGCUUCCCGAGGAGAGGAAGGGAGGGGAGGAAACAGCACCGCUCCCAGACCCUCCUGUCUACGGUCAUUCAAGGCCCACAGGAAGACCGAGAGGGAGAUACUCUUGGUGCUCCCAUUUCACAGGAGAGAACUGAGGCUCACAGAGCUUGUGUAGCUUGCGCAAGGUCGUACGAGAGUAGAAUUAGGCCUUGUUGUCUGGCUGCCUUGGCAUGCGUCACAAUCAUUUCCAUCGUACAGAUUUGAUCAUAAUUUGUGAACAAAUCUCUCAUUGAUGGAUAUUUAAACUGAUUCCAAUUUUUUAUUAUUACAAUGCCAAGAGCCUCUUUUAAAAAAGGUUGUUUCUUUUUUUCCCAAACUUUAAUUGUUUUUUUCCCUCCUAUUACAAAACCAUUAAACAAUUGUUGUAAAAAUUCACACAGCACAGAAAUGUACAAAACAGAAAUGGAAAUUCCCCAGAGUAAAUGCCAUUAACAGCUUCCCACACAGUAUUAUCCUUCCAGACCUUUUUCUAUGCAUAUACAAACAAAUAUGUCCAAAAGCUGUGAUAUGUUGGAGAAAAAAAUCAAAUCUGCAGAAAAAUAAGAUUCAAUUUUCUAAACUCCAUAUCUUAAGUAUUAUCUAUUAUACUUUAAAGAUUUCAAUUUUCUGUUUAAAAAAGUACAGGCGGAAAAAAUCUGGAAGCACAAGAAACUUUCAAAUAUGGAUUUUACACAUUUCUGCAAUGUUCUGUACUUGUAUUUUAAAAAUAUCUCUUUAUUGAAAUAUAAUCUGUAUCUAUUUCCAUAUCUAUACAUGAAAGUUGACAUAUCAUGAGUAUACAGCUCAACGACUUUUUACAAAGUGAACACACCCGUGUCACCAGCUCCCAGAUGGAGAAGCAGAACAUGAUGACCCAAAAACUCAUGCUCCCUUCUAAUAAUCACCCCCACACCAAGGGUAACCCUAUCCUGACUGCAAACAUAUAUUUGUUUGGCUUGUUUUUAUCUGUGCUUGAAUGUUAACAGUGCCCAUGGAUUUCAUUUAAAAUGAGAAUAAUCAACACAGAUGUUGUUAAAAUACAUGCAGAUAUAACGCCAUCAUUUGAUGACAGCUCAUUCCUUGACAGCUGCCUGGAGUCCCUCGUAUCACAAUAAAUCUAACUGGCUCCUUUUGAUGGACAUUUGGAUUGUUUCCAACUUUUGGCUAACAAACAGCACUACAAAGAAUAAUUUGAUACCUCUUUCCU